UACGAAGGGUGCAAACGUUGCUCGGAAUUAUUGGGCGUAAAGCGCACGUAGGCGGCUUAGCAAGUCGGAUGUGAAAUCCCUCGGCUCAACCAAGGAAGUGCAUCCGAAACUGCUGAGCUUGAGUACUUAAGAGGAUCGCGGAAUUCCCGGUGUAGAGGUGAAAUUCGUAGAUAUCGGGAGGAACACCAGUGGCGAAGGCGGCGCCUGGGAAGAUACUGACGCUGAGGUGCGAAAAGCGUGGGGAGCAAACAGGG
rnacentral:rRNA from 1 species